rnacentral:rRNA from 1 species
CCUACGGGUGGCUGCAGUGGGGGAUAUUGCACAAUGGGCGAAAGCCUGAUGCAGCGACGCCGCGUGAGGGAAGACGGUCUUCGGAUUGUAAAACUCUGUCUUUGGGGAAGAAAUCAGGCGGUACCCAAAGAAGCAGCUCCGGCUAACGACGUGCCAGCAGCCGCGGUACUACGUAGGGAGCGCGCGUUGUCCGGAUUUACUAGGUGUAAAGGGAGCGUAGGCGAGCUUGUAAGUUGAAGGUCUAAUCAACCGGCUAAACCGGUGAUCGCGUUCAAAACUGCAGGUCUUGAGUGAAGUAGAGGCAGGCGGAAUGCCUAGUGUAGCGGUGAAAUGCGUAGAUAUUAGGAGGAACACCAGUGGCGAAGGCGGCCUGCUGGGCUUUAACUGACGCUGAGGCUCGAAAGCGUGGGGAGCAAACAGGAUUAGAUACCCCAGUAGUC